AGUGAACGCUGGCGGUAGGCCUAACACAUGCAAGUCGAACGGCAGCACAGUAAGAGCUUGCUCUUACGGGUGGCGAGUGGCGGACGGGUGAGGUAUACAUCGGAAUCUACUUUUUCGUGGGGGAUAACGUAGGGAAACUUACGCUAAUACCGCAUACGACCUACGGGUGAAAGCAGGGGAUCUUCGGACCUUGCGCGAUUGAAUGAGCCGAUGUCGGAUUAGCUAGUUGGCGGGGUAAAGGCCCACCAAGGCGACGAUCCGUAGCUGGUCUGAGAGGAUGAUCAGCCACAGUGGAACUGAGACACGGUCCAGACUCCGACGGGAGGCAGCAGUGGGGAAUAGUGGACAAUGGGCGCAAGCCUGAUCCAGCCAUACCGCGUGGGUGAAGAAGGCCUUCGGGUUGUAAAGCCCUUUUGUUGGGAAAGAAAAGCAGCAGGUUAAUACAACGCUGUUCUGACGGUACCCAAAGAAUAAGCACCGGCUAACUUCGUG
rnacentral:rRNA from 1 species